rnacentral:rRNA from 1 species
GGGAGCGACCGGUCGGCCCUUGCGGUGUGUACUAGCGUUGCGUCCGGCCAUAUUUGCGGAGAGCGUGUGUGGCAUUAAUUUGUCGUGCACGGGACCCGCAUCGUUUACUGUGAGAAAAUUAGAGUGUUCAAAGCAGGCUUAUGCCUUGGAUAUGUUAGCAUGGAAUAAUAAGAUAAGACUUUGGCGGUCUAUUUUGUUGGUUUGCACGCCAUUGUAAUGAUUGAUAGGGACAGUUGGGGGUAUUCAUAUUUAAUUGUCAGAGGUGAAAUUCUUGGAUUUAUGAAAGAUGAACUACUGCGAAAGCAUUUACCAAGGAUGUCUUCAUUAAUCAAGAACGAAAGUUAGGGGAUCGAAGAUGAUUAGAUACCAUCGUAGUCUUAACCAUAAACUAUGCCGACUAGGGAUUGGCGGUCGUUACAAUCAUGACCCCGUCAGCACCUUAUGAGAAAUCAAAGUCUUUGGGUUCCGGGGGGAGUAUGGUCGCAAGGCUGAAACUUAAAGGAAUUGACGGAAGGGCACCACCACGAGUGGAGCCCU